CCAAUAGCGUAUAUUAAAGUUGUUGCAGUUAAAAAGCUCGUAGUUGAACUUCGAGACCGGUCUACUGGUCGUGCUUUUGUACGUACUGGUAUAAUCGGUUUCUCUCUUCUGACGAACUAUAAUGCCAUUAAUUUGGUGUUUUAGGGAAUCAGGACUGUUACUUUGAAAAAAUUAGAGUGUUUAAAGCAGGCUCACGCUUGAAUACAUUAGCAUGGAAUAA
rnacentral:rRNA from 1 species